GCCUCGGUAGCUCAACGGUAGAGCGUCUGACUUGUAAUCAGAAGGUUGAGGGUUCGAGUCCCUCCCGGGGCU
rnacentral:tRNA from 1 species